rnacentral:rRNA from 1 species
UACGGGGGGGGCAAGCGUUGUCCGGAUUUACUGGGCGUAAAGAGCGCGCAGGCGGUCGUUCAAGUCGCGUGUGAAAGCCCCCGGCUCAACUGGGGAGGGUCACGCGAUACUGAUCGACUCGAAGGCAGGAGAGGGUAGUGGAAUUCCCGGUGUAGUGGUGGAAUGCGUAGAUAUCGGGAGGAACACCAGUGGCGAAGGCGGUUGCCUGGAGCUUUGCUGACGCUGAUGCGCGAAAGCGUGGGGAGCGAUCCGG